GGUGCAAAUUGAGGUUUAUUUUAUUUUGUCCAUGGAUAUCCACAUGGACUGCUUUAACACACCUUGUUGAAAAGAUUGACCUCUCUCCAUAAAAUUACUUUUUUACCUUUGCCAAAAAUCAAUUGACCCUCCCCCCAAUUUUUUUGAACAAAUAUAUGGAAAACUGUUCAAUAUCAUCAGCAUUUAGGGAAAUGCAUAUCAAAACUUCCCUGACAUUUUAUGUCAUGCCAUUUGGAAUGACAGUCAUCAAGAAUACAAACAAUAAUAAAUACAGGAGCGGAAAGUGGAAAAAAGAAUCCAUUUUACAUUGUUGGUAGGACUGUAAAUUAGUUCAACAACUAUGGAAAUUAAUUUGGAGAGUCCUCAAAAGACUAGGCCCUUAAAGUCUAAAGCUAUUUGAACAAUAGGUGGUGAUGUAGUGAGAUGAGAAUUACAGUGGACUGAAGACUUAGAGCUAGCUGACUUUGGUCAAAAUCACUUCCCUCUCUGGGCUUCAGUUUUACCUCCUAAGAGCCAAAAAGGCUGGCCUAGAUGACCCUUAGAGCUUUUGCCCUGUUAAUGUUGAGAGAGUGUGUGAGAAGGCUCAAUAGUGAGUUGAGAGUGGGAGAUGAGGAGAGGAUCCAGGUGGAGGCUGCCUGGGCAUUAUUAGAGGUUCAUGGAGUGGGAGAAGCCCUGUUUUGAAGUACCUUGAAAGUUUUCAUUAUACCUCUAACUAAUCAUAAUAAUGUAGAAGAUUUAUCAUCUUACAAAAGCCUUACACACUUCUGAAUUUUGUAGUGGGUUACUACAUGGUGUGCUUCUUUAGAUUCAAUUGACACCUAAUAAACAAGUCUGAAAUAUAACUCAUCAAAAUAUAAUCUAUGAAAGUCCUAGGGGUUUGUUCAACAAAAUUCCCAAUAUGAGUUUAACCCUCUAUUGAGCAUUUAUAUUCUUAUAAGUAGAAACAUUAUAAAUUGAUUAUGUGAGAAUAUUUAUUAUAUACAUUUUAAUUAAAACACUUGCUUUUUAAGCAGGAAAAAAGAUUUCUACCUGCUCUGACUUUCAACCUAUCAUCUAGAGCACAUUUUAUAUUUUUUGGCUUCAUCUUGCCUGAAGAGCUAUUUGAGGAGGA
rnacentral:lncRNA from 1 species